AAGGUAUUUUUUACUAUGCAGAGAAUUUUAUUAACACAUUUCAAACUUUACUCCCAGGCCUCUCCAGCUUAUUCUGUCACAAGGAAUGAACUGUGUAUAGGCAAAACGCAAACAAAACAAAACAAACAAAACAAACAAAAAAAGAAAAACUGAAAAGAGCUCCGGUGUCCGGGGGCUGGGCAUUAAACAUAUAACACUUCUAGAUUUUUGUUUUGUGGAGACAGGGUUUCUCUGUGUAACAGCCCUGGCUAUCCUGGAACUCACUUUGUAGACAAGGCUGGCCCAAAUUCACAGAGAUCCACCUGCCUCUCACUCCCAAUUGCUAUUUUAAAGCUGUGUCAUCACCCCCGGCUAGAGAUCUAGAUUUUAUCAGAUCCACAAACAAAACAAUUUUGAAAGCAGCCAUGGUAUAAAAUAGCAGGUUCUGUGACUUCCGCAAGGGUCAUCGUCUUCAGAAGCCACCUCCAUUCAGUUUGCCUCGCUCUUAGACGCUUCAUCAAAAUUCCCCACCAGACCUGGAACUUCAUCUCUUCAGUAGUGAACGGUGCUUUUCCAUCCAGAUUGUUUGGGCAGCUGCAGCCAGCCUCCUUAAACUAGUCAGACUGUCUGCACCAAACUGGUUUAGGAUGCCGGGAAGCAUUUCUGUCAGCUGCUUUGUCUCCUGUGACCUGUUAAUGGUGAAGGUUUGCUGCCAGCGACGCCUGAACUUCAGGGUUGUUAAAAUGGAUCAAUUCCUUGGUUUGUAAUCAUGUUCACCUCUUCAGUAGCAGAGUCGCUGUUUACUAACCUCUCUAAGGAGAACUGUAGUUUUACCAUCUGCUCUGGCUGCUCUGUGAACCACUUUUUCUGUGGGAGGUACCUUUCCCAACAAUGCAAACGUGGGCCUGCAGUUUGGCAAGUUUUUCCUGGUUCAAGAUUGUUUCAUCUUGUCAGUAGAAAUGGGGCUGUGUGGGAGGACUAGGGUUUGUGCUCAGGGGGUCCCAGGCACACAAGCUAGAUAAGGGACACACGUGGAGACACAAUCCAAUAUAUUAAAAAUAUUUAAACUCUAACCACCAUUUCAAAUUUUAAUUUUAUGUGUAUGAGUUUUCGCCAAAAUGUACACAUGUGUACCAUAUGUGUGCAGCACCACUGGGAAACAGAAGAGUGGAACCAAUCCUCUGGAACUGGUUACAGAAGACUGUAAGCUGCCGUGUGGGUGGUGGGAACCAAACCUCAAUCUUCUGCAAGAGCAGGAAGUGCUCACAAAUGCUGAGUCAUCUCUUCAACCCAACUUCAAUCAGUAUUUUAAAAUGAUUUCUGCUUUUCCUGUGUUGACUUUGAAAUACAGUGUAUAAUGCUCAGUCUGGAUUACUGACAACCAAGUGGUCACUUGCCACAUGUAGCCCUAAAGAGCUGCCCAUACUGAGUGUUACAUGGUCUCCAUUAAACUGAUGAGGUGGCCCAGGCCUAUAGUCAGUUAUUAGAGAGCCUGAGGGAGGGGAUCUCUUGAGCUCUCUAGUUUGAGACAGCUCAAGUUUGGACGAAGAGAAGAAAAUAACCCACCAGCCUGAGGCAUGGCUGCAGUCCUCUAAUCCUGCACCCCAUCAAACCUCUGAAAAGAAUUCUUUUUCUUUCAUUGCUUCUUCUUCUCCUCCUCCUCCUCCUGCUGCUGUUAUUUUGUCUUUUUUUUUCCAGAGCUGAGGACCAAACCCAGGGCCUUGUGCUUGCUAGGCAAGCGCUCUACCACUGAGCUAAAUCCCAAACCCC
rnacentral:lncRNA from 1 species